rnacentral:tRNA from 2 species
GGCCUAGUAGCUCAGUGGUGGAGCACGCGGCUGUUAACCGCGCGGUCGUCGGUUCGAGCCCGACCUAGGCCG